rnacentral:rRNA from 1 species
AUUGAACGCUGGCGGCAUGCCUUACACAUGCAAGUCGAACGGCAGCACGGGUGCUUGCACCUGGUGGCGAGUGGCGAACGGGUGAGUAAUACAUCGGAACAUGUCCUGUAGUGGGGGAUAGCCCGGCGAAAGCCGGAUUAAUACCGCAUACGAUCUACGGAUGAAAGCGGGGGACCUUCGGGCCUCGCGCUAUAGGGUUGGCCGAUGGCUGAUUAGCUAGUUGGUGGGGUAAAGGCCUACCAAGGCGACGAUCAGUAGCUGGUCUGAGAGGACGACCAGCCACACUGGGACUGAGACACGGCCCAGACUCCUACGGGAGGCAGCAGUGGGGAAUUUUGGACAAUGGGCGAAAGCCUGAUCCAGCAAUGCCGCGUGUGUGAAGAAGGCCUUCGGGUUGUAAAGCACUUUUGUCCGGAAAGAAAUCCUUGGCCCUAAUACGGUCGGGGGAUGACGGACCGAAGAAUAAGCA